rnacentral:lncRNA from 1 species
CUGAAAAUUCUAAACUGCAAAUUAUGUUUCUGAACUUUUACUGAAACUAAACUAAAGGCAACCGAUGCACUUGACAGUUAAACUAAUCUAAAGGCAACCGAUGAACUUCUACUGAACUCCUACGGUACCCAAGCAAUGAAGUCUCAGAAGUCAGAAAAUAAUCGAUGGCAAAUCGACAGUUAAACUAAAAACUGCAAUUACAUGCCAUGCCUAAGCAGACAAGCAGAAAGUGUGCGCUGCAGCAGGGGAUGUCGGGCUGAGGCUUGAGGGCGCACAUCCGAACUGCGGACUGCCGAUCCAGGACCGCCGAGUAUGGAGCUCAUACAUUCUCAUAGCAAACUCAUUGAAAUUGGGAAUGAAUUGUUACCAUGUUGUCGGAUCCAAAGCUUGAGAAUGCAUCCAUGGAUGAGACAUCGGGCUACCACCAACGCCUUGGCCCCAGCCUGGUGCAAUCGUUUGGGGAAAGAACCCCAUGGAGGUGGGGGCGCCGGUGAGGACACAGCUCAUGUCGAUGAAGGAAGACGUGGAUUGAGGAGGGGCAGCUCCUUCCGCCGCUGCUGCGCUCUUCCCGUGCAGUGCCGCCGCAGCACCAUUCUUCUCCCCUCGCGAUGCAUCGGCCUUCCGCUCCCUCGCUGCUGCGCCCUUCCGCGCCCUUGCAGCAGCACCCUUCUUCUCCCGAGCUGCCGCCACCGCCAACAAUCCCGCGUCGCCGCCCCCUCCCGCUCCUCUCGUCUCAUCGUUUCCAGGUUCAAGAUUAGGAAUGGAUUGGGGAUAGGAAUGGAUUGGGGAGGUGGAGAAGGAACUGGAUAUAUGGGGGAAAAUGGCGCGGGCAGAUGGAUUUUUGCCGCCAUAUCCCGCGCCAAAUCUCGGAGGGACUCACGCGCCGCAGGGGAUCUCUCACCGUCAUCGACUCCGGGAACGGGUCGUACAACGCUGCUCGCGGGGUGAUUAGACCUGGGAGCACGAGCCUCUGCCGUGGGAGGCGACGGCAAGCUCCUCUCUCCUUAUUAAAAUGUUGUACACGUCGGACUUGUUUGCCAGCAUGGCCACACGCAGACCAGAAAUAGACGGGCGUUGUACGUGAUAUCUG